rnacentral:rRNA from 1 species
GGGUUGUGAGGUUAAGCGACUAAGCGUACACGGUGGAUGCCCUGGCAGUCAGAGGCGAUGAAGGACGUGCUAAUCUGCGAUAAGCGUCGGUAAGGUGAUAUGAACCGUUAUAACCGGCGAUUUCCGAAUGGGGAAACCCAGUGUGAUUCGUCACACUAUCAUUAACUGAAUCCAUAGGUUAAUGAGGCGAACCGGGGGAACUGAAACAUCUAAGUACCCCGAGGAAAAGAAAUCAACCGAGAUUCCCCCAGUAGCGGCGAGCGAACGGGGAGCAGCCCAGAGCCUGAAUCAGUGUGUGUGUUAGUGGAAGCGUCUGGAAAGGCGUGCGAUACAGGGUGACAGCCCCGUACACAAAAAUGCACAUAUUGUGAGCUCGAUGAGUAGGGCGGGACACGUGGUAUCCUGUCUGAAUAUGGGGGGACCAUCCUCCAAGGCUAAAUACUCCUGACUGACCGAUAGUGAACCAGUACCGUGAGGGAAAGGCGAAAAGAACCCCGGCGAGGGGAGUGAAAAAGAACCUGAAACCGUGUACGUACAAGCAGUGGGAGCACGCUUAGGCGUGUGACUGCGUACCUUUUGUAUAAUGGGUCAGCGACUUAUAUUCUGUAGCAAGGUUAACCGAAUAGGGGAGCCGAAGGGAAACCGAGUCUUAACUGGGCGUUAAGUUGCAGGGUAUAGACCCGAAACCCGGUGAUCUAGCCAUGGGCAGGUUGAAGGUUGGGUAACACUAACUGGAGGACCGAACCGACUAAUGUUGAAAAAUUAGCGGAUGACUUGUGGCUGGGGGUGAAAGGCCAAUCAAACCGGGAGAUAGCUGGUUCUCCCCGAAAGCUAUUUAGGUAGCGCCUCGUGAAUUCAUCUCCGGGGGUAGAGCACUGUUUCGGCAAGGGGGUCAUCCCGACUUACCAACCCGAUGCAAACUGCGAAUACCGGAGAAUGUUAUCACGGGAGACACACGGCGGGUGCUAACGUCCGUCGUGAAGAGGGAAACAACCCAGACCGCCAGCUAAGGUCCCAAAGUCAUGGUUAAGUGGGAAACGAUGUGGGAAGGCCCAGACAGCCAGGAUGUUGGCUUAGAAGCAGCCAUCAUUUAAAGAAAGCGUAAUAGCUCACUGGUCGAGUCGGCCUGCGCGGAAGAUGUAACGGGGCUAAACCAUGCACCGAAGCUGCGGCAGCGACACUAUGUGUUGUUGGGUAGGGGAGCGUUCUGUAAGCCUGUGAAGGUGUACUGUGAGGUAUGCUGGAGGUAUCAGAAGUGCGAAUGCUGACAUAAGUAACGAUAAAGCGGGUGAAAAGCCCGCUCGCCGGAAGACCAAGGGUUCCUGUCCAACGUUAAUCGGGGCAGGGUGAGUCGACCCCUAAGGCGAGGCCGAAAGGCGUAGUCGAUGGGAAACAGGUUAAUAUUCCUGUACUUGGUGUUACUGCGAAGGGGGGACGGAGAAGGCUAUGUUGGCCGGGCGACGGUUGUCCCGGUUUAAGCGUGUAGGCUGGUUUUCCAGGCAAAUCCGGAAAAUCAAGGCUGAGGCGUGAUGACGAGGCACUACGGUGCUGAAGCAACAAAUGCCCUGCUUCCAGGAAAAGCCUCUAAGCAUCAGGUAACAUCAAAUCGUACCCCAAACCGACACAGGUGGUCAGGUAGAGAAUACCAAGGCGCUUGAGAGAACUCGGGUGAAGGAACUAGGCAAAAUGGUGCCGUAACUUCGGGAGAAGGCACGCUGAUAUGUAGGUGAAGCGACUUGCUCGUGGAGCUGAAAUCAGUCGAAGAUACCAGCUGGCUGCAACUGUUUAUUAAAAACACAGCACUGUGCAAACACGAAAGUGGACGUAUACGGUGUGACGCCUGCCCGGUGCCGGAAGGUUAAUUGAUGGGGUCAGCGCAAGCGAAGCUCUUGAUCGAAGCCCCGGUAAACGGCGGCCGUAACUAUAACGGUCCUAAGGUAGCGAAAUUCCUUGUCGGGUAAGUUCCGACCUGCACGAAUGGCGUAAUGAUGGCCAGGCUGUCUCCACCCGAGACUCAGUGAAAUUGAACUCGCUGUGAAGAUGCAGUGUACCCGCGGCAAGACGGAAAGACCCCGUGAACCUUUACUAUAGCUUGACACUGAACAUUGAGCCUUGAUGUGUAGGAUAGGUGGGAGGCUUUGAAGUGUGGACGCCAGUCUGCAUGGAGCCGACCUUGAAAUACCACCCUUUAAUGUUUGAUGUUCUAACGUUGACCCGUAAUCCGGGUUGCGGACAGUGUCUGGUGGGUAGUUUGACUGGGGCGGUCUCCUCCUAAAGAGUAACGGAGGAGCACGAAGGUUGGCUAAUCCUGGUCGGACAUCAGGAGGUUAGUGCAAUGGCAUAAGCCAGCUUGACUGCGAGCGUGACGGCGCGAGCAGGUGCGAAAGCAGGUCAUAGUGAUCCGGUGGUUCUGAAUGGAAGGGCCAUCGCUCAACGGAUAAAAGGUACUCCGGGGAUAACAGGCUGAUACCGCCCAAGAGUUCAUAUCGACGGCGGUGUUUGGCACCUCGAUGUCGGCUCAUCACAUCCUGGGGCUGAAGUAGGUCCCAAGGGUAUGGCUGUUCGCCAUUUAAAGUGGUACGCGAGCUGGGUUUAGAACGUCGUGAGACAGUUCGGUCCCUAUCUGCCGUGGGCGCUGGAGAACUGAGGGGGGCUGCUCCUAGUACGAGAGGACCGGAGUGGACGCAUCACUGGUGUUCGGGUUGUCAUGCCAAUGGCACUGCCCGGUAGCUAAAUGCGGAAGAGAUAAGUGCUGAAAGCAUCUAAGCACGAAACUUGCCCCGAGAUGAGUUCUCCCUGACUCCUUGAGAGUCCUGAAGGAACGUUGAAGACGACGACGUUGAUAGGCCGGGUGUGUAAGCGCAGCGAUGCGUUGAGCUAACCGGUACUAAUGAACCGUGAGGCUUAACCUUACAACGCCGAAGGUGUUU